rnacentral:rRNA from 1 species
AUGAACGCUAGCGACAGGCUUAACACAUGCAAGUCGAGGGGCAGCACAGGUAGCAAUACCGGGUGGCGACCGGCGCACGGGUGAGUAACGCGUAUGCAACUUGCCUAUCAGAGGGGGAUAACCCGGCGAAAGUCGGACUAAUACCGCAUGAAGCAGGGGCCCCGCAUGGGGAUAUUUGCUAAAGAUUCAUCGCUGAUAGAUAGGCAUGCGUUCCAUUAGGCAGUUGGCGGGGUAACGGCCCACCAAACCGACGAUGGAUAGGGGUUCUGAGAGGAAGGUCCCCCACAUUGGUACUGAGACACGGACCAAACUCCUACGGGAGGCAGCAGUGAGGAAUAUUGGUCAAUGGGCGUAAGCCUGAACCAGCCAAGUCGCGUGAGGGAUGAAGGUUCUAUGGAUCGUAAACCUCUUUUAUAAGGGAAUAAAGUGCGGGACGUGUCCCGUUUUGUAUGUACCUUAUGAAUAAGGAUCGGCUAACUCCGUGCCAGCAGCCGCGGUAAUACGGAGGAUCCGAGCGUUAUCCGGAUUUAUUGGGUUUAAAGGGUGCGUAGGCGGCCUUUUAAGUCAGCGGUGAAAGUCUGUGGCUCAACCAUAGAAUUGCCGUUGAAACUGGGGGGCUUGAGUAUGUUUGAGGCAGGCGGAAUGCGUGGUGUAGCGGUGAAAUGCAUAGAUAUCACGCAGAACCCCGAUUGCGAAGGCAGCCUGCCAAGCCAUUACUGACGCUGAUGCACGAAAGCGUGGGGAUCAAACAGGAUUAGAUACCCUGGUAGUCCACGCAGUAAACGAUGAUCACUAGCUGUUUGCGAUACACUGUAAGCGGCACAGCGAAAGCGUUAAGUGAUCCACCUGGGGAGUACGCCGGCAACGGUGAAACUCAAAGGAAUUGACGGGGGCCCGCACAAGCGGAGGAACAUGUGGUUUAAUUCGAUGAUACGCGAGGAACCUUACCCGGGUUUGAACGCAUUCGGACCGAGGUGGAAACACCUUUUCUAGCAAUAGCCGUUUGCGAGGUGCUGCAUGGUUGUCGUCAGCUCGUGCCGUGAGGUGUCGGCUUAAGUGCCAUAACGAGCGCAACCCUUGCCACUAGUUACUAACAGGUGAUGCUGAGGACUCUGGUGGGACUGCCAGCGUAAGCUGCGAGGAAGGCGGGGAUGACGUCAAAUCAGCACGGCCCUUACAUCCGGGGCGACACACGUGUUACAAUGGCGUGGACAAAGGGAGGCCACCUUGCGACAGGGAGCGAAUCCCCAAACCACGUCUCAGUUCGGAUCGGAGUCUGCAACCCGACUCCGUGAAGCUGGAUUCGCUAGUAAUCGCGCAUCAGCCAUGGCGCGGUGAAUACGUUCCCGGGCCUUGUACACACCGCCCGUCAAGCCAUGGGAGCCGGGGGUACCUGAAGUCCGUAACCGAAAGGAUCGGCCUAGGGUAAAACUGGUGACUGGGGCU